rnacentral:rRNA from 1 species
CGUGUAGGCGGCAAUAAAAGUCUGGUGUGGAAUACUUCGGCUCAACCGAAGAGACGCGCUGGAAACUGUAUUGCUUGAGUUUAGGAGGGGGAGCUGGAAUUCCUGGUGUAGGGGUGAAAUCUGUAGAGAUCAGGAAGAACACCGGAGGCGAAGGCGAGCUCCUGGCCAUAGACUGACGCUGAGGCGCGAAAGCGUGGGGAGCGAACAGGAUUAGAUACCCUGGUAGUCC